GGUCAGAUGGCCGAGUGGCUUAGGCACAGGUCUGCAAAACCUGAUACGGCGGUUCGAAUCCGCUUCUGACCUCCA
rnacentral:tRNA from 1 species